GGGGAAACUGUUAGCGUAGCUUACCAUAAAGACUAGACCCAGGGAGAAACUGUUAGCGUAGCUUAGCAUAAAGACUGGACCUAGGGGGGAACUGUUAGCAUAGCUUAGCAUAAAGACUCGUAGCGUAGCUUAACCACUUACCAACAACACGAGGUCGGGCUCACGUGUCUCUGGAUGUUUGUGUCACUUCCUGCCUUCAAAGUAAAUGUUGUUGUGUGUCGCCAUGGAAACACAGGGUCACUUCCUGUUCCAGCAUAAAGCAUGAUGUCAUCAUGACUCAGCGUUAAAACGAUAUUCUGUCCGUGUUCCACUUUUUAUUUGUAUAAAGUUGUAAAAAUGAAAAAAAGUAUUAAAAGAAAAUGUAGAUUUAGAUUAAAUUAUAAGUGAUUAAUGAAUUAAUUAAUUAUUAUAAAUUAUUAAAUAUUCAAACCAAAUGGGGGAAGAAAAGUUGAUGAUUUUCAAAAUAAAAGUUUUUGGAAAUGAACGUUGACAUUCUUGUAAAUUCUGAAAGAAUCAAUAAAGGUUAUUCAGAGUUUGUUUCUGCUGCACUGGUUUAAAUAAAGUUGAUUCAAAGUGGUCACAUGUUCUGUUGAAACUUAUAGAAAAUUAAUAAAGUUUCUUGUUUCUGCUGUAAA